UACGAAGGGGGCUAGCGUUGUUCGGAAUUACUGGGCGUAAAGCGUGCGCAGGCGGUGCGCCAAGCUCGAUGUGAAAGCCCCGGGCUUAACCUGGGAAUUGCAUUGAGGACUGGCGUGCUCGAGUGCGGCAGAGGGGGGUGGAAUUCCACGUGUAGCAGUGAAAUGCGUAGAGAUGUGGAGGAACACCGAUGGCGAAGGCAGCCCCCUGGGCCGACACUGACGCUCAUGCACGAAAGCGUGGGGAGCAAACAGG
rnacentral:rRNA from 1 species